rnacentral:lncRNA from 1 species
UUUUUUGAGGCAUUUUUGCGUCCGACUUUUAUUUAUUUUGUGUCUUUUUAUUAUUGCAUUUUUGUCAAAGUGUCUAGAAAAAUUAAAUAGAAUUAUUGUUUUUUUUAAUUCUAUUUUUAUUUUAAUUAUUUUUUAGUAUUUAAUUUUAUUUAGUUUUAGUUAAUACUAUUUAAUUUUGUCUCGAAAAUAAACACCAAGGAUAUUUAUGAAUUUUAAAAAUUAUUAAAAACCCUAAAGUGAGAUGUAUAUAUAUUAGUGAUGCAGAGAGUGAGUGGAAA